rnacentral:miRNA from 1 species
ACACGAGUCACCUUGGAGCUUGUGAAAAUGCUGACCCUGAUCCCCUCAGCCCUGCAGGGCCUGAGAGUCUGAGUUUCUAACAAACUCCCAAGUGAUCAGGGC